GUGCAAAGUAUUUCCUCGUCAUAUUGUGUAUAAAAGUGGUCAUACUUGGUCCUCCAUUACAACCUGUCUUGAUACAGACUGUAGAGGUGUAACAUUUAGCGGCUGACAAAAAAUCAAUCAACUUAAGAUGUUGAAGCUUAUCGUAAUGGCCUGUCUAGUGGCCUGUGUCUUGUGCCGAUCAUACGGAAGCAGGCGUGAUUCCUUGUUGUAUGACAAUAUCAGAACAGGCAGUUGGGGUUCAAGUUUGGAUAGUUGGGGAAACGAUCCUUGGAACAGUGAUAUCUAUGGGAGCGACUGGGACCGACGUGGAGGCGACAUGUGGGGAGACAGGCGGGCUGGUGACAGGAUAGUAAACAGAUGGAGAUCCGACAGGAGAUACUGAUGAAGAGACAUUAAAAGAUCCAUUUGGCCAAAGUUUGGAAAAUCCAUUUAUGUCCCAUAUUCAUUUGUAAAUUCAUAUUCCUCAUAUCGUUUUGCUAAUAAACAUUUUUUUUUCUUAUA